UACGUAGGUGGCAAGCGUUGUCCGGAUUUACUGGGCGUAAAGAGCGCGCAGGCGGCUGGUCAAGUCCGAUGUGAAAGCUCCCGGCUUAACUAGGAAACGGCAUCGGAAACUGAUCGGCUUGAAGGUGGGAGAGGGUAGUGGAAUUCCCGGUGUAGUGGUGAAAUGCGUAGAUAUCGGGAGGAACACCAGUGGCGAAGGCGACUACCUGGCCCACUCUUGACGCUGAGGCGCGAAAGCUAGGGGAGCAAACGGG
rnacentral:rRNA from 1 species